rnacentral:lncRNA from 1 species
CAUGCCAGAGAAGAUCUGUGAAUGCAUUUGCACUACCAUUCAAAAGCUCGAGGUCACCAAGGCUGCAUUUAUUUGAAAAGUAAUUUUGGGAAGGAUUAGUAAUAUUUCAAUAAUUGCCUUCUAUUUGAAUAUAUUUUAAAAUGUAAUUUAUUCCUGUAAUGUCAAAGCAUCAUUACUCCAGUCUUCAGUGUCACAUGAUCCUUCAGAAAUCUUUCUAAUAUGCUGAUUUUCAGUUCAAGAAACAUUUCUUAUUAUUUAUCAAUAUUAAAAACAAAUUGUACCACUCAAUAUUUUUUGUGGAAACCGUGAUACAUUCUUUGAUAAGAAAAGGUUCAAAAGAGCAAAAUUAUUUGUAGCAUUAUAAAUGUCUUUACUGUCAUUUUCAAUUUAAUGCAUGCUUGCGGAAUAACAGUAUUCAUUUCUUUCUUUUAGAAAAUCUUCCUGACCUCAGACUCGUGUAGGGUAGUGUACAUGUGGUGUAGAGUUUUUCUAGUGUACAUGUUCUUAGUGUCCUGUGAUGCCCCUGCUGUGUAGGGCAGCGAUGAUGAUGAUGAUGAUGAUGAUGAGUGCACCCAGUCUUCCUCAGGCCUGGCUAUUCGCGGCCCCUCUGAUAUUUUCAAGUGGAUGGAGCUCCGAUUCAAUACACUGGCCAAGUGCCCACAUUGCAAAAAAAUGUGAGUUGCCAUCAUUUGUCAUAAUAUUUGUACGUCAAAAAUGUGAUGUGUGUGGCAAUACUCCACCAGUGACGUGCCGUUCUCAGGAGAAAUGUCGUAAAUUGCAGUGUGUGAUGUGCGUUACUAGCCGGAGGUCAGGCUUGAGUUUGUAACUGGCCAGUUUUUAGAAGUGAAAGUAAAUAAACCCUGGCCAGUUCCAGUUAGAGAGGGAGGCAAUGUGAUGCCAGUCUGCCAGUCACCUGAGACAGCGAGCGUAUCAUGCUGACAUACUGAAACACGAGCCAUGCACGCUAGUGAUGCUGCGAGGGAGAGUUAUGACAACAGAUGUUGCAGCACACAUGAAUGGAGCUGAGUCUCCCAAAGCAAAGCACAGAUUUCCACUUGAAUGCAGAGCGUUGGAAGAGGCACAGAAGGAGAUACAAGCAGCAGUAGGAUAGAAAUUAAGCACCUUAAGCUAUCUGAUUUGUCGUGAUUCUAGAAGAAUGUUUGAAAAUCCCAUCACAUGAGAGGCAUGUGAGGGGUCAUGGUAAGACUUAAUGGCCCUCAAACAGGAAAAAGAGCAGACCAUGAGACUUCAAGAGUUUGUCUGCCAGCCGAGGGCUCUGUGCUGAGCCAAGUGAGAGAUCUCAAAGGCCCGGUACACUGGGAAAAAAAUAUACUUUAAACCAAAAAAAAAAUAAUAAUAAUAAUAAUAACCUAUUAAUUUUUGUUAAGCCAAAUGUAUUAGGUUUUCUCAAAUUAUAUAUAGGUUAAGUCCUCAAAUGUUUAUCUUCAAAGAAAGUAAAAACAUUUAUUAUAAAGACUAUACCAUAUUUAAUCAGUAUAUUUUCUUUAGACAUAAGCCAAAAUAGUACUAAAUGUAGGUUGGAAUAAGCUUUUUUUUUUUUUUUUUUUUACAACUUAAGUUCACAAAAAGACUAAUUAACUAUAAUAUAUGAAUGAUGCCGAUUUCAAAAGAGCUUAAAGGGAUAGUUCACCCAAAAAUGAAAAUUAUGUCAUCAUUUAUUCACCCUCAAGUUAUUCCAAACCUGUACGAGUUUCUUUUUCUGCUGAACUCAAAAGAUGAUAUUUUGAAGAAUAUAGGGUAAAAAAAACUGUUGAUCGGUCCCCAGUGACUUCUAUAGUAUAGAAAAAUACUAUGGAAGUCGAUGGGGACCAUCAACCUUUUUUUUUGUGUGUGUGUUUAACGGAAGAAAUGCUGUACAGGGUUAAAACAACUUAAGGGUGAGUAAAUUAUGACCGGAUUUUCAUUUUGGGGUGAACUAUCCCUUUAAUGAAUAUCGUUGUCUAUUUUUAAAAUUUGCAUCAUAUUUCCUGUUAUGUACUAAAAACUUCCGUAAAAAACAACAAAAAGACGACGUUGCACAGAAAAUCUGCUGAUCUAUGCUGCAAAACUUAAAGAAUACAGGAAUCAUCUCAACUACUUUUAUGGUUCAUACAGUAGCAUAAGAGGGAUGCUUUUGUCUUCUAAAAAAACAUUACAACAAGUUGGAAGUUUGGAACAAUAUUAAGACGAGUAAACAUUCCCUUCAAUAUAUGCGCUUUAGUAGAAUUUGAAGCUUAACAAAAUCUUUUCUACGAAAAUUACACUUUUUAAGCAUGAUUACCAGAGAAAAGCCCUUUAUAGUGGACAUUUCUUUUUAUAGUCUCUCUUAGAGGAGAUAUGUAUGGAUUAUUAUGCAAUGAAAUGGCAUUCAAUAAUCCUGAUCUGAAAAAACAACAUUACAAGUUAUAAAAUGCACAGAGAUGAAGCCACAUGCUAAUCUCUAACCCAACAAUCAAUGAGAAGAUUGUCUAUUUUUAAAACAAUCUGAUUAUUAACGUUUAAAUGUUUAAGCUGCUUGCGUUUUGGAUUUUGGGAUGUGGAUUGGACCAAUCUGGAUGGCUAAUACUUAGUUUUGUAAUGCAGCAGAUUGGUUGCUUGUUUGGCAUUGGGUUAUUUUGCAGAUGACUUUUAUCUAAAGCAAUUUAUGGUGUUUUUUCUCCAGGGGCGUUUAAUUGUGUUCCUCUGCAGUGCUGCAGAUCAGCUGGAGAGAAUGAGGCUCUGCGUUGUUUUUUUUUUUUUUUUAUCACCUGUCAAGUACAAACCCAGCAGAGCUGUCCUCGUGAGCAUUUAUGUAAAGGAGUGACUGGAACACCCCCCGUUGCUUCUCUCUCCUUAUUCUCAGUGCAGUCAUUUCAGAUGGCGUUUAAUGGCUUGGAAACCUGCCAGUGCCACACACAACACUGGGAAGACAGUAUUCCAGUGAAGGUUUGAGGAUCCUGAUUCUAAGAUAAUGCAAUCAUAUUAUGGAAGCUGUGAAAUAUUCUGUUAUGUGAGCUGUAGUUGGAACUCUUAAGAAUCUUACAAAUAAAGGUUCUUUAUUGACAUUGAUGGUUUGAUGUAGAACCUUUAACAUGCAUUGAACCUUUCCAUUCCACAAAAAGUAUUCAUGUUACCAUCAAUGCAAAUAAAGAACUUUUAUUUUUAAAAGUAUAAGCAUUUGCAUUGAUGUUUCUGCUAAAUGACAGGUAGUAAUAAUAACUAAAAAACGUUCUGUGUCUAUAUAGAAUAAUCUUAAAGGGAUACUCCAUCGCAAAAUGAAAAUUUUGUCGUAAGUGUAAGUGAUUAAUGACAAAAAAUUUAUUUUGUGGUGGAGUAACCCUUUAAUCAAAGUUACAUGGAUCCAAAAGUUUCAUCAAAUUUAGGUCAAAGUUAAAACCAAAACCAACAAAAUGUGAGUGAUGUGGUUAUUGUUAUUUUACUGAAACACUGACGUUUCCAGACCUUUCACUUCAAUAACUAAAUUGAGCAUCAUAAAUGGAGCCUUUUUAGCACAAAUGAGGCUAGAAGCACUGUAAUUUUGUAAAUCAGGAUGAUGGGAUGAUGUGUUUAUAUACAAAACACGGAAACUUGUCUUAAAGCCACACAGAUUCCAGUGCAGAGGUGAACAUUCAGGUUGUGUAGGCGUUUACUGUGAAGUACUGGAUGUGGAAACAUAUACUGUACACAUUCCUCAAAAUGAAUCAUGAAGAAGGAAGAAAAAGCCAAACACACCAUUGGGUUUAAUGCAUUGAAUUAAAAUGAAUUCAUGCAUGAUUUGUUGAUUAACUAGAAAGAGCAUUCAGGAAUCCUUUCAAAACAUGAAACAUCUGGGAUUUUGGGAGUUGAGCAGACAGCUCUUUUUAUGAGAAAAUAUAAGUUGAGCAGACAGUCUCUUUUUAUGAGAAAAUAUAAGUCUGUUUCUGAAAGACUAAUAAAAAGCCACCUGACCUCAUAUUUGUUAUUGGUAACACUUUUUUAUACUGGUAACGAUCACAGAAAUAUAGACUUUUGCUGAAAACGUACUCUCCUCAGGGCAUCCUAAAUUGUGGACGAGUUUGUUUCUUCAUUGCAACAGAUUUGUAGUAAUUUAGCAUUCCAUCACUUGCUCUGCAGUGAAUGGGUGCCGUCAGAAUGAGAGUCCAAACAGCUGAUAAAAACAUCACAAUAAUCCACAAGUAAUCCAUUCCAGUCCAGUCCAGCAAUUAAUGCCUUGUGAAGCCAAAACUGUGUGUUUGUAAGAAACAAAUCCAUCAGUAAGAAUUUUUUUAACUUCAGACCUUCACUUCUGGCCAAAAUGCGAGUUUAAUCCAUAAUAACACUUCCUUUCCAAUGAAAAAGUCCUUCUUCUAUAGUCUCUCACAUCAAAAUCCACCCACAUAUCUGUUUAAAACAGUAUUGAACUGUUUUCACUUGUAAACGGUGCAUGAUCUGUGCAGAUUUCUCUCCUGAUUCAGCAAUAUUAUGGAUAGAUGACUUGUAUUUUGGCUGGAAACAAUGGUUUGAAGUUAAAAAAUGUCCUUAUGGUUUGGACUCUCAUUCUGGCGGCACCCAUUCACUGCAGAGGAGAACCACGAGUAGGUAAAUAUAAUGCAUUAUAAAUUAGAUCAAAAUGGUGGGACAAAAUAUAAUGCACUGAAAUGAUGUAUUAUAAGGUAUCACAGUGAAUUAUGUGUGCAUCAGAAACAUAGACUGCCAGAGGGUACAUCAACACCAAAAUCUUGUUUCUCGUUCUGCGCUAUGAGAGCUGAAUUACAUAACAGUGAUCGAUACCCUUGAGCUCACUGGAGUCCCUGCAUCAGCAGUACUGCAGUCAGGCAGUCGCGACACUGCGGUAAUGUGAAACCUUCAGCAUGGACUCACAGCUUCACACGUCAGUAACGGUGCAUGUGUCUUCAUCCGUCACAGGCAGCGUGUUGUGGUGCUGAUGGUGAGCACACUCUGAGCGUGUACAGAUGCGCUCACUGCAGCACAGACUGCCUUCACUCUGAUACACUGCAACAUCACAGACACACACAGGUGAGCCUUUCAUACUGUUUCAUUUCAUAACUGCUGGAUUACACUCUAUAUGAAUGUUGCAUAUGCAAUGUUUGCUUGCACUUUACAUUAUACAGUAGUGUCUGUGUUGCCCAUAUGCAGUGUUGUAAUUAAUUGCAAUAUAAACAACUGUUAAACCAUGAAUAGCUGUUGCUUGUUUUAAUUAUAUGUUAUAUUUAAUUUAAUUUUACACUUUAUUUUACAGUCUUACUGUGUAUUUAAUUUGGUUAAAUAGAGAUGUUGCAUAUUGCUUUUGCUAUAGUAAUUAAGAAUAGCAUCAUGUAAUAAUGGACACUGUAAAAUUAAGCGUUUCCAUGUUUUAAUAUGCAGUUUAUAAGUCUUGAAUUUGUGUUUAAUAUAUAUAUAUAUAUAUAUAUAUAUAUAUAUAUAUAUAUAUAUAUAUAUAUAUAUCGACUUUAAAUAUUUAAAAUAUAUCUUGGCCAGAAAAUAGUCUCUUUUUUUUGUCUGUAUGGAAUGUUUAUGAAUUAAUAUGUAAUUUU